AUAAGUAAUGUGAAUUGCAGAAUUCAGUGAAUCAUCGAAUCUUUGAACGCACCUUGCGCCCCUUGGUAUUCCGAGGGGCACGCCUGUUUGAGUGUCGUGAAAUUCUCA
rnacentral:rRNA from 1 species